ensembl:lncRNA
CAGCGAUAACAGGAGCGGUGGUCUGCUCAACAUUGGAACAACCCUGCUGCUGGAACUUUAUGACGAUUUUAAAGGUGUCAUCACCACGAAGGGCAAUACUGUCGCAAUUAACAAGGCGAGGGUGAUGGCUUGGCAAAAAAUGCUGACAGAUUAAAUGCGUAAAUUAUAGCCUAGGCCUACUUAUUGUUUAAUUUUUUAUCUUUAAUAAAUGAACGUACAGAUCACUAGAUAAGACUGGCUAGAUUAUCAUCAGGCUAGAUAAUAUCAGAUGUAUGAUCAGUCAACAUGUUGUUGUAGGUUAACUUACGUGAACUGAUUACAAGGCGUUUAGUGUUUAUUAGCCUAAUUCGGUGAGGCAUGAAGCCUUUCUGACCUAGUAACACUUGGCCUAUAUUCAUUCUCGGCGGUUACAUCUCAACAGGUGCCAACUCAAUAGCCAAAAAACAACUUCGAUAUUAGAUAUCAAGCAACUUCCAUCGCAGAUCAUCUGACAGCAUAGAGGGGGACCAAUGAUGUGAACCAAUUUGUUUGGAAGGGAUUUAAUUGAAAAUUGCAGCAUGACUAAGAAAAGUUGAUGCGAUGGUGUCUUUCAAAAUGUACAUUCCAGUCAGAAUUAUUUCAACUUUGCUCACAUUUCAGAAUAAUAUUUUUAACUUCAGGUCUGACAUUGCAUGAGAUUUCAAAUAUGGUUUUGCAUAGUUCUUCUGCAACUGCAUGUUAAUGCUAUGACAUACUUGGUUAGGAAAUGAAAUACUGUACCAGAUUGUUUUUAUCAUUGAUCAGUGCUGAAAAGGUAAAGGGAAACCUUAUCUCUGUAGAGUACAGUUACUUCUUUGUGUAAGGCUGAUGUGGAGGGUUAGAAAAUGGCCUCUAUUAAAAGGUAAUCCUAAUAUCAGACACCCCCCUUAUUUUUUGAACAUUGUGUACUAUUUUAACAAUUGUCUUACCAGUUACAAAACUGUAGUUACUCGACCUGACCAAUAGGUGCUGCUGUGGAGUUGCAUUAGGGAGGCAACGGUCCUGAAUUCGCGCAGAAAUAAAUAUGUGCUCAGACCAUUGUGACUAUCUCCUAACACGUGAAGGUUUAACUGUUAUUUCACUGUUCUUGGACCCACUUCAAAACUGUAUCUAACCUUGUUGGCCGCUAAACCAGGUAGAUGACUGAUGUGAAUCUGUGACUUGGAGAUGUCUUGAAUUAGACAUAAAUACGAACAAUGCAUUGUCAGCGCAGGACUUUGACCAACUUAAUCUUUGGUGUUCUCUUCGUAAAUGUUAUCAAACUUUCAUCCCCUCUACAAGUUUCUUCAGUGGUCUGUAACUGCAGCAGCAUUACUUCAUGUUAUGGACAUUGUGUCACAUCCCAAGAAAUAGGUGAAUUAGAUUGCUUUGGUAAACGUAUAAACCCAAGAAUCAAAUGGAAAUGUGUUUGGACAAAUGGAAAACUCACUGUCAACAAAAUGUACAGAUACACACUGGUUAUAGAACAAAAAAAAUACUGCCAAAUAUAUCCAAACAUAUCAGGAACAUCGAUGGACCUUCGAAUCGUAAACGAACGUUACAACAUCACAGCUCGUUUGUUUGACGAGAGUUAUCCGCACAGCUGCAAAGAGACUGUUUUCAGAGGUUUUCCUCCAGAAUUGGUUCGAUGUGGCCCCCCAUUAAGUGUAGACUUUAAACGCCAUUCAAGACAGCUGGACAUCUUGCCAUCCUGGGGAAUGGAGAAGAGGUAUAUCCAGUCUUACACAGUGAGAUACAAAGAACUGAAGGGACCGUCGUGGGCAGAGCCAACAGUGUAUUCACAGGAUAUAAAUAAAUUAACUGUGAGAAAUCUUAGCUCUUCGAUGACAUAUGAGGUGCAGCUUCGGGUUCUGGAGAACCAAAGAUGCACCCAGGUGCCCUGGAGCAAGAGUUUCCUUGUCCAACCAGAACUUACAGAUGAGCCUGUCAUUAAGAUGGUUAAAGAUAUUUCAAAAAUGAAAGGGAAGAGAUUGGUGACCAUCAAAUGGAAGUUUGCAGCCAGUGAAGUAUCUGAAGGCUACAGGGUGACUGUGAAGAAGUCAGGAGGGGAGACCACUGAGACCUUUAACACAAGCCACCCCUUACUCACGCUGAUCCUGUCUCACUCAGCCUACCAAUUUGAGAUAAUUGCUAUCAGCAAGGUUGGAACUUCGCCUGCUGCACAAAGGACUAUACCUCCAUUUUACGACAAAGGCUUAAACGGGAAGCUGAAGGUGACAUUUAAUGGCAAUACGUCCUUUAAUGUCUCAUGGGUCGAUGACCUAAUCAAAAACUACUCCUGCUUCGCAGUGGAGUGGUGGGGGAAUAAAGAGAAAGCUGCUCACAAAUCAUUUUAUGAGGAUGAGAAGAUAUAUAAAGUCAUACUAUUGGAUGAGCCAUUGCAGCAGUAUACAAGGUAUACCUUCACCCUGCACACAAGGCUAGACAAAGAUGUCUGCAACCUAAAAUCCAUCAACAACAGUGAGAGCACCUACGGGAGCAUUCAAGCCUACUUCAAAGAAGGAAUUCCCAUCAGUGCUCCAGGGAACAUCAGCAGCAAUGUUACCCAGAGUUCCAUGGUGCUAGAGUGGAUAGCUGUCCCUGAGGAGGACACCAGAGGUUUUCUUCUUGGCUACAUUCUCUACUACAGAGAGAAUCCACAGGAUGGGACAGAAACUGAGACAAACAUUACUAUAGAUGCUGGUUCAAUGAGCUACGAGUUGGUUGACCUGAAGAGCAGCACUGUGUACAAGGUCCAGUUGUCUGCCUUCACUGGUGCAGGAAUGGGAGUGAGAAGCUCAGCUGCAUACUUUGAAACCAAGCCAAAAGAUUGGCUUUUUAAUCCGUCAUGUAAAGUUUGAAAUUAAACUGAAAUAUCCUUCAUUUGGAAUACUAUUUUGUAAUGAUUUACAUUACCUGUCCUUUGUGCUUUCCCUCCCAGCAUACUUUACUGCAAAUGGUGUGAUAGCAGGGGUUGUUGCUGGAGUACCUAUACUCUUACUUUUGGUUCAUCUUUCUUCUAUGUUGUUUAAAAGGUAUGAUUGGCAUAGUUUUAAGUUAAAGGUGCAUUCAUAUGAUAAUGUUGUCCAGUUCUUAACUUGUGUCCAGUGAAAUCAAUUUAUAUGUCAAUUAAUCACAAAAUGUAUGUUCAGGGCAAAGAAACUACCUUGGCCAAUUAUCCCUAAUCCUGAUAACAGCAAUGCCAUCCAGAAAUUAGAUGGGGUCUGUGAGCUGGUAAGAAAGUGUAUAAUAAUGGAUCGUUUAAUUAUAUGCCUUAGACCAAGCCCUGUUUCGGUUGGUUUUCUUACCCCUCCAGAUAAAUAGAAUAUGCUUGAUUAUCCUAGAAACUCCUGGACCCCAAUAACAGCCAGACGUUAGAAGAAGAGGAGGGAGACUCUAAAAGUCUGUGCAUCAUUGAUAGAAAUGAAGAAAUAUCUUCCAUUAGCAACAUCUACAGCAACAAUGACAUGUGUCCACAGUUGAACACAGACCAAACGGGGGCCCAAGGGCCUUCUACAUCCACCACAGACUCCCCCAAGCCAAGUUCAGUAGAUCUUCAAACUGACACCGCCACUGCCUGUAAAGCAGCAGGUCCCACUUCCGACAUGGAUGCACGUACUAGCACAGACAUGACACAGACCGCCAUGGCUCCAAACAGCACGGUGGCCCACAAGUGCCCCCCCUUGGCCUUUCUGAGCGAUUACACCACCAUGGAACUCUUCCAACAGACCAUGCCUCAGGGCAUUUCUGCCACAUGUUCAUCAUUGACUCAGGGUCCAUCGAGCCAGUCAACAGACACAGACUCAACUCUGACUCCACUAGAGUUGCAUUAUAUCUGCCCGUCCCUCAGUCAAACUGCCAUCCAACCAUCCCACGGCAGCGCCAGUGAAACUCAGAACGCAGAGGAAUGUUACACAGUCCUUUGAUUUUUACCAGUCAUUCAAAGUAGUUGAUGUAAAACUAUUAUAAACUGUAUGUAAAGAACCAUCUCACUACAUCCUAUUAUAAACUGUAUGUAAAGAAACAUCUCACUGCAUCCUAUUAUAAACUGUAUGUAAAGAACCGUCUCACUGCAUCCUAUUAUAAACUGUAUGUAAAGAACCAUCUCACUGCAUCCUAUUAUAAACUGUAUGUAAAGAACCAUCUCACUGCAUCCUAUUAUAAACUGUAUGUAAAGAACCAUCUCACUGCAUCCUAUUAUAAACUG